CCGAAUUUGGUAAUGGAAAUUCAUCGUUGAAACCGAAUCAUAUAAUCAUAUUUUUGAUCUUCACUGACUAAUUUUGAAUUUAAUUUAGUUGAGUAGAAUCUCAGUUUGUUUCCUAUACUAUUCCAAUAAAUUCGCAUAGCAACGAUCAAGGCAAGUUUUCAAAAUUCAGUAUUUUGAAUAUAAAGGGGAUCUGAAUAUUUUCCUUGGACAUAAUUUUAAUUGAUUUUACGGAAAAAAUUAUGGCAAAUGGCUAUAAUUGCCCUCGGCCCGCGUCUUGCAUAUAUAAAUACAAGGCCGUAUGAUUACAUCUCCUCAUCCGUAAAGUAGUAUCCUUAUAUUUUGUUUCUUUCAUAUUUUAGUAUUAUUUUGCUUAUGUUUCGUUUUAUUUUAUAUUUAUAAUUUAGUUUAUGAAAACAAUAAUUUUAUUGCUUUUGUUUCGUUUUUAUCUUUGCUUCAUAAUUUAUUUUUAUAUAAGUUUUUGCUUACUCUUAUAGAUUCAUUUCCACGAAAUAUACUUCAAUUAAAAAAACAAAUACACAAGUUUUUUUUUAAAUCCAAGCUUACUUUAUAUAGACAUACACAAUUUCGUUGAAUCCCCCUUAUUAUAUAACAUGUAAUAUUUCUUUCUAACACUAUUAACUUUCUAAUACCUAUUGAUUCAAAAAUCUCUUUAAAUCUUUUCAUCCCGCGCAGGGCGCGGAUUAUCAUCUAGUCACUGUUAUUUGCCUAUCGCCACCGUCUGGGCUGUCAACUGGGCUACGAUCUGCCUAUAAUUUUAGGCCCAAUUGGAUAGAAAUACACAACGACCAUAGCAAGCUUCUUUUUUUUUUUUUCUUUUUUUCCUGAGAAUAGGUAAUCCAAAAUUUCCAAAACAUUAUAAAACACUAGAUGCUUCGUCCGCUCUACGCGCGGAA
rnacentral:lncRNA from 1 species